rnacentral:rRNA from 1 species
GACGAACGCUGGCGGCGUGCUUAACACAUGCAAGUCGAACGGAAAGGCCCUGCUUUUGUGGGGUGCUCGAGUGGCGAACGGGUGAGUAACACGUGAGUAACCUGCCCUUGACUUUGGGAUAACUUCAGGAAACUGGGGCUAAUACCGGAUAGGAGCUCCUGCUGCAUGGUGGGGGUUGGAAAGUUUCGGCGGUUGGGGAUGGACUCGCGGCUUAUCAGCUUGUUGGUGGGGUAGUGGCUUACCAAGGCUUUGACGGGUAGCCGGCCUGAGAGGGUGACCGGCCACAUUGGGACUGAGAUACGGCCCAGACUCCUACGGGAGGCAGCAGUGGGGAAUAUUGCACAAUGGGCGGAAACCUGAUACAGCAACGCCGCGUGCGGGAUGACGGCCUUCGGGUUGUAAACCGCUUUCGCCUGUGACGAAGCGUGAGUGACGGUAAUGGGUAAAGAAGCACCGGCUAACUACGUG